rnacentral:snRNA from 1 species
AUACUUACCUGGCAGGGGAGAUACCAUGAUCAUGAAGGUGGUUUUCCCAGGGCAAGGCUUAUCCAUUGCACUCUGGAUGUGCUGAACCCUGUGAUUUCCCCAAAUGUGGGAAACUUGACUGCAUAAUUUGUGGUAGUGGGGGACUGUGUUCGAGUUUCCCCCCC